rnacentral:rRNA from 1 species
GAUGAACGCUGGCGGCGUGCCUAAUACAUGCAAGUCGAGCGAAUGGAUUAAGAGCUUGCUCUUAUGAAGUUAGCGGCGGACGGGUGAGUAAUACGUGGGUAACCUGCCCAUAAGACUGGGAUAACUCCGGGAAACCGGGGCUAAUACCGGAUAACAUUUUGAACCGCAUGGUUCGAAAUUGAAAGGCGGCUUCGGCUGUCACUUAUGGAUGGACCCGCGUCGCAUUAGCUAGUUGGUGAGGUAACGGCUCACCAAGGCAACGAUGCGUAGCCGACCUAAGAGGGUGAUCGGCCACACUGGGACUGAGACACGGCCCAGACUCCUACGGGAGGCAGCAGUAGGGAAUCUUCCGCAAUGGACGAAAGUCUGACGGAGCAACGCCGCGUGAGUGAUGAAGGCUUUCGGGUCGUAAAACUCUGUUGUUAGGGAAGAACAAGUGCUAGUUGAAUAAGCUGACACCUUGACGGUACCUAACCAGAAAGCCACGGCUAACUACGUGCCAGCAGCCGCCGCCG